GCAGGUGCCCGGCAUUGCCGGGACAAUAGGGAACGGGGUGCAACUCCCCGACAGGACCGCUGCUGUAAAGCGGAGCGCCGCGCAGAUGCGUCAUUGGCCGGCGCCGCGUCCGGGUUUCGGACGGGGCCGGGGCCGAGAAGACCGCGCGGAGGCGAUGAUGCUGAGUCAGAAGACCUGCCUGCGGAUCAA
rnacentral:ncRNA from 1 species